CGGGCCCGCACAAGCAGCGGAGCGUGUGGUUUAAUUCGAUGCUACACGAAGAACCUUACCAGGGUUUGACAUGCAAGUGGUAGGAAACCGAAAGGCGACCGACCCUUCGGGGAGCUUGCACAGGUGCUGCAUGGCUGUCGUCAGCUCGUGUCGUGAGAUGUUCGGUUAAGUCCGCUAACGAGCGCAACCCUCGCUGUGUGUUACAAGUGUCACACGGUACUGCCGGUCUUAAGCCGGAGGAAGGUGGGGAUGACGUCAAGUCAGCAUGGCCUUUAUGUCCUGGGCUACACACACGCUACAAUGGCCAACACAAUAGGUUGCUAAGCCGCGAGGUGGAGCCAAUCCUCAAAGUUGGUCUCAGUUCAGAUUGCAGGCUGCAACCCGCCUGCAUGAAGAUGGAGUUGCUAGUAACCGCAGGUCAGCUAUACUGCGGUGAAUACGUUCCCGGGGCUU
rnacentral:rRNA from 1 species